CGGAGCUGGCCCGGGAUAGACAGUUCACUUCUAUGUUGCCUCCUCUUCAGUUUAUCAACGUGCGAAUGAGUGAAUCCAACAGGUCCUCGGAGCUGCUGGUCUCCCGCCUCUCCGUGGUGUCCCUGGUCACCUCCCUAUCGCCAGGUGUGCGCCCUCUCCCCGCCUGCGACCUUCCCAGAAGGUGGAUGGGUCGCUGCUGUGCUUCAAGGCCUGCCAGCCUGCGGAGAAUCUGGGGACCUGUGACCUAGUCCCUCCUCCACCCCCGGGCCAGCGGCCUCCCGCUCCUCCUCGGUGUCCAGAAUUACAGCUGGGUAGGAAGCUCCCUCCGCUGACUUCUCUCCGCCGGGGGCCGGGGGUGGGGUGGGGCGAGGGGCUCUUCCGUCGUCGUGUCAGCACCUGGCCCUGUCAUUUUCUCAGCCCCCUUGCCCUGAGUCACCAUUACUUUUCCUCCGUGGGGCCGGGCUCGCGCACCUUUCCAUGCUGCAGCUCAGUGCACUGCCUGGCACGCAGUACGUGCUGGAGAGGAUGUGUUUUGUCACUGAAGGCGCAGUGAGAGACUCUGUCACCCAUGAGGCCAGGGAGACGCUGUUGGUUUGAGUGGAAUACCGAUGUGGG
ensembl:lncRNA